rnacentral:rRNA from 1 species
UACGUAGGGUGCAGGCGUUAAUCGGAAUUACUGGGCGUAAAGCGUGCGCAGGCGGUGAUGUAAGACAGAUGUGAAAUCCCCGGGCUCAACCUGGGAACUGCAUUUGUGACUGCAUCGCUGGAGUGCGGCAGAGGGGGAUGGAAUUCCGCGUGUAGCAGUGAAAUGCGUAGAUAUGCGGAGGAACACCGGUGGCGAAGGCAAUCCCCUGGGCCUGCACUGACGCUCAUGCACGAAAGCGUGGGGAGCAAACAGG